rnacentral:lncRNA from 1 species
GCUGGACUCUGAACCCCCUGGUUUGAUAGUUUAGCCUUUGUCAGAGUCAAUAUUGCUUCGUACGUUCAUCGCUGGACUUCGUAUCACAGCACAUUUUUGAACUUUUCCCGCCUUCAGGGUCCGUUUGUUACUAAAACCCUGAACAGUUUUGCGGCAUCUGUGUCUUACUGUUUCUUCAGUGUCUCCACAGAUUUCUUCUCCAUCUCCAGUCGGGCUGCUACCAGCUUCUUCACCUUGGCCUCAAACAGCUCCGCACCCCUUGGGGACAGAGAGGAAGAUUCACUAAAUUCACACACAAAUUGUCACCUGCAGCCUGCAGACAAGGAAAUACCCAUGUCUUCCUUACAAUUAAAGCCAUAUUACAGAGUUCUUUCCAAUACACUGUAAGUAAUGCUCUUUCAUCCAAGGAAAGUUGGACUCCUCCUUUUCUGAAUGCAGAUAGGCUAUAGUCUUGAUUUAUGAGAAAUAAAGUUAACAUUUUCAAACAUUUACCUCCCACUGUCCCCUGUAUACCCUCAGCCCAUUUGUAUUCACGCUCUCUGUAAACUGGAGGAUGACGAGCGUGUGUGGAGAACAGACCUGGAGGCCAAUAUCUUGGACGACUUGAGGUCCGACACCACGUAGAGGAAGUAGUAGCUGAGGAAGACCCUCCUCUGCGCCAGGAGCACAGUGAAACAGAUGGCGUCCCAGACGAUUCCGGCCUCGCCCUCCGGCAGCUCGCACUCAUCAUCAGGAACAGCUGACACGCGGGACAGGAGAAGUGUGUUGUAUAUGUACACGCUUUGAAUGACAUCAAGUCCAACACUUAUCUUAGUUUUAACAUUAAUCUGCGGAAAUAAAAUGAGUUAAGAUGCAACACACAGCUUCUUAUAAUAUUGUUAUGUGGCAUGAUUGUGACAGCUAGGUAGUGUAUAACAAAUU